AAGGAAGGUCUGAAACUUGAUGAGAGUGAUGAUGAGAAGAAAAAGAAGGAAGCUUUGAAGGAAAAGUUUGAGGGUCUCUGCAAGGUUAUCAAGGACGUUUUGGGUGACAAGGUUGAGAAGGUUGUGGUCUCUGACCGUGUGGUUGAUUCUCCCUGCUGUUUGGUCACUGGUGAGUAUGGUUGGACCGCCAACAUGGAGAGAAUCAUGAAGGCCCAGGCUUUGAGGGAUAACAGCAUGGCUGGAUACAUGUCAAGCAAGAAGACCAUGGAGAUCAACCCCGAGAACCCCAUCAUGGAAGAGCUGAGAAAGAGAGCUGAUGCUGACAAGAAUGACAAGUCUGUCAAGGACCUUGUUCUCCUUCUUUUCGAGACUGCCCUCCUAACUUCUGGCUUCAGCCUUGAUGACCCCAACACCUUUGGCAACAGAAUCCACAGGAUGUUGAAACUUGGAUUGAGCAUUGAUGAGGAUGCAGGUGAAGCCGAUGCUGACAUGCCCCCACUGGAGGAUGCUGAUGCAGAGGCC
rnacentral:lncRNA from 1 species